GAGGGAGCGCGCGCCCUUCGGCGGGAGGCUGGGUCUGAUUCGAAAGGGAGGCGAACGUUUACACAAGAACGAUUUACGUAGAGCCCACAACUUCAAAGACAGUUCAAGUUGACUUGUAUCCAAGGGCCAACCUGUACUAGAUCGUCUGGUUUGAAGGAUGUUUGAAAGAUUGUCAAACACCUGGACCCGUGCAAGAGGAGGAGAUUUUUUAGAUGUCCUGAUGUAGAAAAAAAUUGUGUGGAUAAUAGAGGAUGUUUUGGACGGGUGAAAACAGUGGGAUGAGCACACCAAGCAGAAGAGAACCUCUUCUUGGGGAUUUUUUCUAAAUGUUGGAGUUUUUGGAAUUGAAAUUUGAAUCACUCUUAUCACACCACUAUUGUGUUCUCAUCAGAAAUGCUCUACUUUGGUGGAGCUGCAUUAAGAUAAUAGAGCUGCUUGUUUUGAAAGCAAAAUCAUUCCAUAAAAGGGAAUUCACGGAGGAGGAAGGGUGGAAGGGUUCGGCAGCUUUGACUGCUUCCACUUUGAGGCUCCUGGAGAUGUUUUUCUUCGUAAAUUGACAAAUUUUGUGUUGACGGCUUUGUUGUUCUAAUUCUGUCAAGCUCAGGAGCCAAUCAGAUCCCAGACUAAACAGGAAGGAGGUGGGUUCCUGCAGGGACUUGAAGUAGAAACCAGCAGAAAAGACAAAACCAAAAGAAAAAGACAAACAAAUGAGAUUUUUAAAGAUAAAGUCGUCGUUUUUGUGUUUGCAUGCACGGAAAAGCAUCUAGGAUUGACUUAUAUUUCAGAUUUUUAUUUUAUUUCCUAUAGUUUUGAGCGCAAACUAACUUGUAAGAGUGGAACACAAAGCUUCACUUUGUCCCGAUUUAAAGACAAACUUCACAGUCCCUUCAUGAACAGUCUGUGCAGACUUCAGGUUUGUUUUUCAAGCUAGUUAAAGAGGUCACAGCAGGGUGUUAACGGAUUCCAAAAAAAAUCUUCUUGACCUUUCUUUUACGAACCCUCUGCUGCGUUCAGUGACGCUAGCAGCUCUUGGCUGCAGAGAUUUUCCAAAGUGCUCUUUCCAGCUAAAGUGUAAAAAAUCAUUUUAUUUCUGUUUCAGUUACGCAACGUGAGAUUUUCAUUGCUUAUUAAUAAAGGUGACGUGACGUGAGAGCUAUA